UACGAAGGGUGCAAGCGUUACUCGGAAUUACUGGGCGUAAAGCGUGCGUAGGUGGUUUCUUAAGUCUGCUGUGAAAGCCCCGGGCUCAACCUGGGAAUUGCAGUGGAUACUGGGGAGCUAGAGUGCGGUAGAGGGUAGUGGAAUUCCCGGUGUAGCGGUGAAAUGCGUAGAUAUCGGAAGGAACACCUGUGGCGAAAGCGGCUCACUGGACCAUAACUGACGCUGAGGCACGAAAGCGUGGGGAGCAAACAGG
rnacentral:rRNA from 1 species